UAGGUUCUCAUCGGAGAAGAGCGAGGAAGUGAAUAGACCGGGAAGCACCAACACUCCACACUUGAGCUUCGGCUCUAGUCUGUACUCUUCUGCUCUGCUCUUUUGCUUGUUCAUGGAGUUUACGGCUGCUGCUUCUUCUUUGUCUUCUAGGGUUUUAAAUAGCACUACCCAGUUCUCAUGUUUUACAGCACCCAGACUUCAAAAAUCAAGCUUUUAUAUUCCUUCUAAUUCUUCACUUCAUUUCUCUGCACCAUUUUUUGGCGGAGAUUUCUCUUGCAGAUGCACUAUCAAAGACACCGUUACUUCUAUCCCUAAGAUGGCUACGCAUGAUUUUGAACUUUCGAAUUUGACGGCGCUGUCGCCUUUGGACGGUCGGUAUUGGGGUAAAGUGAAGGACUUGUCGCCUUACUUGAGUGAAUACGGGCUAAUUUAUUUUCGGGUUCUGGUUGAGGUUAAAUGGUUGCUGAAACUAUCACAAAUUCCUGAAGUCUCUGAGGUUCCCAAUUUUAGUGAAGAAGCUCAAAUUUAUUUGCAAGGAUUGAUCGAUGGGUUUAACAUGGAUGACGCCCUGGAGGUUAAAAAUAUUGAGAAAGUGACAAACCAUGAUGUAAAAGCAGUGGAAUACUUUUUGAAAAGGAAAUGCCAAUCACAUCCAGAGAUUGCUAAGGUGCUUGAAUUUUUCCAUUUUGCUUGCACUUCUGAGGAUAUCAACAAUCUGGCCCAUGCAUUAAUGCUUAAAGAAUAAAUGAACGAGGUCAUCUUUCCUGUAAUGGAUGAAUUGAUCACAGAAAUUUGCAACAUGGCUGAAGAUAAUGCUUCCACUCCAAUGCUUUCCCGCACUCAUGGACAGCCAGCUUCUCCUACAACUUUGGGAAAGGAAAUGGCAGUUUUUUCUGCCAGGUUAAAUGAACAAAGGCAUGAAAUUUCUCAAGUUAAGAUAAAGGGGAAGUUUGCUGGUGCAGUUGGAAAUUACAAUGCACACCUUGUUGCAUACCCUGGUGUCAAUUGGCCUCUAAUUGCCAAAGAAUUUGUGGAAUCUCUGGGAUUGUGUUUUAAUCCCUAUGUCACUCAGAUUGAACCACAUGAUUAUAUGGCAAGACUUUUUCAUGCCAUUAUGAUAUUUAACACUGCAUUAAUUGAUUUUGAUAGAGAUAUAUGGGGCUAUAUAUCCUUAGCAUACUUUAAGCAGAUAACUAAGGCUGGUGAAAUUGGGUCCUCAACAAUGCCUCACAAAGUAAAUCCUAUUGAUUUUGAAAAUAGUGAAGGUAAUCUUGGUAAAGCCAAUGGAGGUUUAUCUCAUCUCAGUGAGAAGUUACCUAUUUCUCGUUGGCAACGUGACUUGACUGACUCAACUGUUUUGAGGAAUAUGGGUGAGGGCUUGGGACAUUCUCUUCUUGCCUACAAAAGUGCAUUGCAGGGAAUAAGGAAGCUUCAGGUAAAUGAAAGUCGCUUGAGUGAAGACCAUGGGAAGUACUUGCUGAACCAAUACAGACAGUUAUGCGUCGAUAUGGCGUUCCUGAGCCUUAUGAGAAGCUAAAAGAGUUAACCAGGGGAAGAGCUGUUACUAAAGAAAGUAUAAGAGAAUUCAUUGAAGGCUUGGCAUUGCCAAAAGAAACAAAAUCCUACCUUUUGCAGUUGACACCCCAUACCUAUGUUGGAGCAGCUAUUGAAUUGGGUAAAUCUGUGAAUGCCACUAUGAAUUUAGUAAAUGGGGUGAGAGCUUUAUAACCUGAUGGCUGAAAGUUUCCAAAGAUAAUAACCACAUUGUAUGAUGGCCAGGUAGAAAAGGAUGCUAGAUUUCUUGCAUAAAGGAAGUUUUUUUGCCAUUGAAAAGGGGAUUAUUAUCUCGUUAUAUGCAACCCCACUGAGAACUAUUAACCUCUCAUAUAUUGUCUUGGUCCUGUAAGGGAGUAAUUGAGGGAGUUUUACCUUUCAACCCUUCCUAAUAGCAUCUAGGACUCAAACUGGUCGUUUCUCGUUGCAGCACCUAGAUUCUUGCUGUUGUAUUAAACAGCGACCCUCAGGAGAACGAGGGCUGAAAUUUUGUAAAUGAUAGUUUAUCCUCUUGAGCUUAUAUUCAAUUCUUUGAUUCAAUUUUCAGUA